rnacentral:pre_miRNA from 1 species
AAACCGCCCCUUAAGUUUUGCAAUUGUAGCAGUUUUGGCCCCCCAAGGUCAAGUUUUGGUAAAAUAAAAUAAAAUAACACGUGGCACCUCAUUUAGGGUGCCACGUCAGUGUAGACCGAGUCAAAAUUGAUCUUGGUGGCCAAAACUGCCACAUAUGCAAAACUUAGGGGGUGGUUU